rnacentral:rRNA from 1 species
AUCAACUUUCGAUGGUAGGAUAGAGGCCUACCAUGGUGGUAACGGGUAACGGGGUGUUAGGGCACGACACCGGAGAGGGAGCCUGAGAAACGGCUACCACAUCCAAGGAUGGCAGCAGGCGCGCAAAUUACCCAAUCCCGACACGGGGAGGUAGUGACAAUAAAUAACAAUACGGGGUUCUUUCGGAUUUCGUAAUUGGAAUGAGUACAAUUUAAAUCUCUUAACGAGGAACAAUUGGAGGGCAAGUCUGGUGCCAGCAGCCGCGGUAAUUCCAGCUCCAAUAGCGUAUAUUAAAGUUGCUGCAGUUAAAAAGCUCGUAGUUGAAUUUCGGGACCGAUAUAUCGGUCGUGCCUCGGUACGUACUGGUAUUUUCGGUUUCUACCUUCUGACGAACCUUGAUGUCAUUAAUUUGGUGUCUUGGGAAAUCAGGACUGUUACUUUGAAAAAAUUAGAGUGUUUAAAGCGGGCUCACGCUUGAAUACAUUAGCAUGGAAUAAUGAAAUAGGACGUUUGAUUCUAUUUUGUUGGUUUCUAGGAUCGACGUAAUGAUUAAUAGGGAUAGUUGGGGGCAUUAGUAUUCAAUUGUCAGAGGUGAAAUUCUUGGAUUUAUUGAAGACUAACUACUGCGAAAGCAUUUGCCAAGGAUGUUUUCAUUAAUCAAGAACGAAAGUUAGGGGAUCGAAGACGAUCAGAUACCGUCGUAGUCUUAACCAUAAACUAUGCCGACUAGGGAUCGGAUGAUGUUAAUUUUUUAAUGACUCAUUCGGCGCCUUACGGGAAACCAAAGUGUUUGGGUUC